AACGAACGCCGGCGGCACGCCUAACACAUGCAAGUCGCACGAGAAAGUCCCCGCAAGGGGACCGGUAAAGUGGCAGACGGGCGAGUAAUACGUGGGUAACCUGCCCUCGAGUGGGGGAUAACCCCGCGAAAGCGGGCUAAUACCGCAUCACAUCCCGGAACGCCAGUUUCGGGAUCAAAGGUGGCUCGCAAGGGCUACCGCUUGAGGAGGGGCUCACGUUCCAUCAGCUAGUUGGUGGGGUAACGGCCACCAAGGCAGUGACGGAUAGCUGGUCUGAGAGGACGGCCAGCCACACUGGCACUGAGACACGGGCCAGACUCCUACGGGAGGCAGCAGUGAGGAAUCUUGCGCAAUGGACGAAAGUCUGACGCAGCGAUGCCGCGUGGGGGAUGAAGGCCUCGGUC
rnacentral:rRNA from 1 species